rnacentral:siRNA from 1 species
AUGAUAAAGUUAAUAAUGGGCUUG